rnacentral:rRNA from 1 species
CUUGACUUAACCAUAAGAGGUCCAGCCUGCCCAGUGACAUUGUUCAACGGCCGCGGUAUCCUAACCGUGCGAAGGUAGCGUAAUCACUUGUCCUUUAAAUGAGGACUUGUAUGAACGGCCACACGAAAGCUAUGCUGUCUCCUUUUUCUAAUCAGUUAAACUAAUCUCCCCGUGAAGAAGCGGGGAUGAUCAUAUAAGACGAGAAGACCCUAUGGAGCUUUAAGCGAUUGAAACACUUGUACCCAUCUUCCACACUUCCGACAGUCUACGCUUAAUUUUACACUUUGUUUCUAGCUUUAGGUUGGGGUGACCACGGAGAAAAAACAAACCUCCACGCUGAAAGAGUUAAUCUCUAAACAAAAAGCCACAUCUUUAAGUAUUAAUACAUUAACCUGAAUUGACCCA